rnacentral:rRNA from 1 species
AUUGAACGCUGGCGGCAGGCCUAACACAUGCAAGUCGAACGGUAACAGGAAGAAGCUUGCUUCUUUGCUGACGAGUGGCGGACGGGUGAGUAAUGUCUGGGAAACUGCCUGAUGGAGGGGGAUAACUACUGGAAACGGUAGCUAAUACCGCAUAACGUCGCAAGACCAAAGAGGGGGACCUUCGGGCCUCUUGCCAUCGGAUGUGCCCAGAUGGUAUUAGCUAGUAGGUGGGGUAACGGCUCACCUAGGCGACGAUCCGUAGCUGGUCUGAGAGGAUGACCGGCCACACUGGAGGUGGGACGCGGUCCAGACUCCUACGGGAGGGAGCAGUGGGGAAUAUUGCACAAUGGGCGCAAGCCUGAUGCAGCCGUGCCGCGUGUAUGAAGAAGGCCUUCGGGUUGUAAAGUACUUUCAGCGGGGAGGAAGGGAGUAAAGUUAAUACCUUUGCUCAUUGACGUUACCCGCAGAAGAAGCACCGGCUAACUCCGUG